rnacentral:rRNA from 1 species
ACGGGGCGCAGCAGGCGCGAAACCUUUACAAUGCGGGCAACCGUGAUAAGGGAACCUCGAGUGCCUGUAAACGCAGGCUGUUCAGGUGUUUAAAACACACCUGGAGAAAGGGCCGGGCAAGACCGGUGCCAGCCGCCGCGGUAAUACCGGCGGCUCGAGUGGUGGCCGCUUUUAUUGGGCUUAAAGCGUUCGUAGCUGGGUUGUUAAGUCUCUUGGGAAAUCUGGCGGCUUAACCGUCAGGCGUCUAAGGGAUACUGGCAAUCUUGGAACCGGGAGAGGUGAGGGGUACUUCGGGGGUAGGGGUGAAAUCCUGUAAUCCUCGAGGGACCACCUGUGGCGAAGGCGCCUCACCAGAACGGCUUCGACAGUGAGGGACGAAAGCUGGGGGAGCAAACCGGAUUAGAUACCCGGGUAGUCCCAGCCGUAAACGAUGCGCGUUAGGUGUAUCGGUGACCACGAGUUACCGAGGUGCCGAAGGGAAACCGUGAAACGCGCCGCCUGGGAGGUACGGUCGCAAGGCUGAAACUUAAAGGAAUUGGCGGGGGAGCACA